rnacentral:lncRNA from 1 species
CUACCAUGAUUGUGAGGCCUCCCCAGUUAUGUGGAACUCAAAGCUAGAGGAAACCAAAGUCAUAGAACAUCUGAACUCUGUCCAAACAUCGGUCGUAUUUCAAAAUUUCAGAGCCUCAGACUUCCAUGAUAAUAUCUGCCUAGUCUUUAGAAGAGUGUAUGGAAGUGUUCAAGAACCUUUCCUGAAACAACUUCUAUUACAGACACUGCUUCUUCAUGGUUAUUCCAUCAGAUUGCAAUCACUUAUAUGUUUUUUUCCACUCUUCCUUAUAUUAUGAGCACUUUUCACGUAGGGGUUCAUCUCUUUAAUAAUCAUAGCUCCCAACACAAUUGUAGGCUUAUAUUAGAUGCUCGAUAAAGAUGAGUUGAGUUAACAUGUAAAGUAAUGAAUGAGUAAGGAAAAAUAGAAUAGUUUCGAAUUAAUGCAUGUUACUGCUACUGUAAAUUUAAUGUUUUCAUUUCUAUUACUAUUUAUAUAUAAAUUUAAUUAAUUGUUAACUUUCUUUGCCAUCCAUACAUCUAUUUAUCUGCUCAUUUGAAAAUCUCUUUCCUGUUUCCUAUUAUUCAAAAUAUUAAAAGCAAAUAUUACUUAAAUAUUUAAAUCACUCUUUUUCCAUGUUAAGUUUCUCAGGAUGCAGAAUGUUGCUGUACACUGAGAAAUAUUAGGCGAUACAAAAUGGCUACUAUAACGUAAUGUUCUAGAAAAUGAUAAAAGUCAAACCCAUUGGUUUUUGCUGCCAACACAAGUUUGUCAAUGUAAUUAAUGCCCUUUAGCCUGGGAGGGUUGUAUGACAGGAA